rnacentral:lncRNA from 1 species
ACUCAUACACUGAUUUGAAACCAUGUUGUACUUACUGAGAUUUCAUGAUGUGGAUUUUGAUGUGUUUCCUACUGCUUAGUCUUUAUUUACCUUUAUUACUUACUGAAUUGGUAUACUCGCAUUACUCCUUGCACCUUGUGUGCAGAUCUAGGGGUUGCUGGACGUGCUAGUGAGCAUUGAUUUUUCAUCCAUCGCGGAUAUUUUGGAGUUGGAAAGGUAGGUGCAUGGUGAUCGCAUCCUUUCCCUUCUCCCCUAUCUUCCAAUAGAUAUUAUUAGCUGAUUUUUAGACUGUAUUAGUCUGAACAUUUCAGAAAAUCUUUAGUAGAUGCUCAUGACUUGUGAUACCCCGAUGUCGGGCUUUUCACUUCGCACUUUGUUAUUCAUGCUUAUAUUAUGAAGUUUUAUUAAUUACUAUCUUAAAGAAAUCUUUAUUUUGAUAUAUCGGGUUGUUUGAUAAAUGAGCCGGCUUGCCUAGUUCUAUGUUAGGUGGCAUCACGACAUGGUGGAUUUGAGUCGUGAUAAGUUGGUAUCAGAGCCUAGAUUACAUAGGUCUCAUGGGACAUGAGCGGUUUAGUAGAGUCUCGCGGAUCAGUAUGGAGACGUCUGUACUUAUCUUCGAGAGGCUGCAGAACCUUUAGGAAAUUCCACACUCUUGAAUUCUUAUCAUGCGUCACUGAUUCAUCUUGAAGUGUAACUCUUUGAAUUCCUUCUGUGCAUUUGUAUGCGCACAUGAACGCCUGAUAUCAACUGUGCAUCGACGGCAUGUGAUUCCCUGAACGAGGGGCGAGAUACGAUUUCUGUGUGUUGAUGUUGGGCCAGUCUAGAGGACUUGAGGACGGGUUUCGCCUAUAGCUUGAACACUGAGGUGUUGAUUGUGAGAGCACGUGUUUUUGGGAUCUAUAUGUUCAGUAGUGUCUCUAUUGGUGGAAGUGAUGGCUGGAUGGCUACGUGAUUAGUAUGAUGUGACUGCGAGAUGUGUUCAUAUGAUUUAGAUGUGACGAGGAGAGUCUGCUUGAGGGUAAAAAGAAUUAUUUGGUGCUUGAUUUCCAUCUUUAUUUGAUGUAUAGCCCCGAGUUAUGAGUGUGUUGAAGGAUCUUUUCAUGUUGUUUAGUUGGGGAGUGAAGUAGAUUUCAUGUCGUGAUAUGAGUUCGGACUCAAGAAGAUUAAGUGAUUGUGCGGUAUUUAUGACAGUGGAAGGGUAUAAAGAGAUGUUAGUUUGAGGAGAAGUAGGUGGGUUAUCUCCUGCGGGGUGUCCUGAGGGCGUGUGAACCCUAUGUUGUUUUGUAGUGAGUCCUCUUUUACCAGUAAAUUAUAUGUGGUGCAAUUUGAGUUUGGGUCGUGUAUGAGAGUUAGCUUGACUGUUACGAGGGUGAAUGCGAGAUUUGCAGAUGAUUUAAAAUUACUAGAUGGUGUGUUGCACGAGCUUAUGAAGGAUUUAGUUUAAUCUCGCUAUGGUAUUAUGGCAGUAGUAGAGUAUGGGUAUUGUGAGUUUCUGUGUGUUUUGACCUAUGGCUUUGAGCCAAAUAGGGGAGUCUGCUAUUGAUAAGUUGAUUGCACGGCUAAGUGUUGUAUUAGUUUUAGUUUGAGAUAUACCGGCGAAUCAGUUAUGGCUUACAGAGGUUGAGAUCAAGGAUGACUCGAGUAAAGGAAAUUUUGGAUAAGGGUUGUGUUAUGCUUUGUGGGUAUAUGAGAAAUGUUGGAUGAAUUAGUUGUUGUUGUAAGAGAUGUAACGGGUAUGGAGUAGGAUAUCACUAGGCUGCUUAGAAGGAUGGGUUAUUUCCUUAGGUGUUGUUGUACUGAUGGGGCACAAGUCAUUCGGUUCAUUUGAUCAGUUUGAUUGAAACAUGAAUAGAGUGGAUGACGCCCAAGAAUGGUUUUAAAGGAUUCAAGAUUUACAUAUAGUGAUUGGAGAUCUUCAGGAUGUGUAUUUGGCUAGAAACUGAGGUUUACAUUGGAGGGUAUCAAGACUUGUGGCAUUUUUAUAUCACUAUGGAUUCUACGUAUCAGUAUCAAGAAGGUGAAGGUAAUGGAUUUAGAUUCGCAAGAAGUCUCUUCAAGGUUAGUAUUUUGAAUAUAGUGCUUUUAGGGACAUUUAAGAGAGUAUUCAGCGGCUUAUGAGCCUUAGACGGUGUGGUUUUAUGCUUGGGUCUUGUCUGAUGAGUCUGGGUUGAGGAUUACGGUAUUAUAGCUAGGGGAAAUAUCAAUUUGAAGGUAAUUCAGAAGGAACUUGGAUAAAUAGGACAACUUGGUAGUAGGUCGGAUCGGCAUGGUAAGGGAUAUGAUUAGUUCUUUGGGUUCUUGUGAGGUGAUGAGUUUCUACAGGUGUUUCGUAGCAAUGCUCUUGGGUUUUUGGUGACCUGCGUAGCUUGGUUGAGUUAGAAGGAUUUAGUCCUGACGGUUUGGUUUUGUGCAAAUGGUAUUCAGAGAGUUCUUAAUGGUUUCUACCACGGUUAGAGAUGUAUAUUUUUUACUGGCAUGAGGAGCAUGUGAUGUAUAGUGGUUUUCUUCUAGAUAAGAACAAAUAGAAAGUUCUUGGCUAGUUGAGUACGGUUGCUUGUGGCUCGGAAUGGAUUAUGAAGUUCUUAUGUUUAUCAUAAGAUGUCAUGGAAUAUGUGGUAUCUUGUGUAGGGUUGAGAUUUGCAUGUGUAAGGUCACGAUUCAGUUUUGAAAGGAAGGUCAUAAAUUCUUAGGCAACAUGGACAGUUUCAGAUGACUAGGUAAAUGAUAUUACUAAUUGGUGUGGCUUGAUGAGAGUAUACAUUUCAGAAAGGGCAAUGUGUUUGAGUUAUGGAUACUUCAUCGGUAUUGUGUCACUCUCUUGUUUGAUCGAUUGUUGGAGUUUAAAUUUUGCUUUGUGGCACAGAAGAAUUUUAGAAGCAUUCCUUGUAGGGUGACUGUGUAAUUGGCAAAGCGUGGCAUUUAGGCGGUAGAGUUGAGAUCGGAUAUGGUGAUUCGUGUGCCUUAUGGAUUUAGAGACUGGGAAUUCUCAUAAAUAGGUUAUUUCGUGGUUGUGGACUGUGAAGAUGUGGGCAAAGAUAGUCAGAUAUUAGUAUGUGCCAUGAUUCAGUCAUUGUGAGCUUUCGGAGAGUUAUUUAUCUGUUAUGGGUGACCAGAGUUAAUUAGGGUUCAUUUGUAGGCCUGUAUGGAUAUGUGUUCUACACCGGGUCAAAUUUGUUGACUUCGAGCAACUAUUGUUGAGGAAGGUGCCAUUCGGUUGUUGAUAAGCUUAUUCGUGUCCUGAGAUUUGUUAUGAGUUACCCUUGUAAGGUAUGCGGGAUUGUAACUCGUUGAUUUUAUGCACAAAUGAUAUGGUUCUAUUUGGUUUGAUAGUGGAGUUUGAGAGAGACGGGUAUUUGGGUGUUGCAUUAUUGAUUGCGCAUUGGAUAUGUCCUUUCGGGCUGGUAUGACAUUGCAUCAUUUGCUUCUCCGUGGAUAUGGUGAUUCACUUUUGGUACUAGACAUCAAAUUACGCGUAGGUGUUGAUUUUGAGCCUGGUGACUUGAGGUGUUUCAUGUGGAUCAAUGUUUGAAUAAGUUCACGCAUUACAACGAAGUUAUGUUGGGAUAUGAUCCUUCGAGUUAGAUUCGUGUGUUCUGGUUCUACUAUGUGUGAUGGGUUCUUAGCAUUGUGUGGAGGUGGUACUGGUAAGCUUGCGGUGCAACUCUCUCAUUUGAGUCAUUUUCCAUGAUUUGAGUACAUUUGGAUUAUUGCUUUUUGGUGCACGGAUUGUGGCUUUAAAUCGUAUUGAGGUGUCAUGUCACCAGAGUAGUCAUGUUGGAUGGGAUGAGGUCGCUGAACCUAGAAUGAAUACUAUCGGAUUGGAUUUUAGCUUGUUGGAAGGAUAAUAUCAGAAUUCAGCUUAUAAAUUUACUACAACCCUUACCGACAGAGAGGGAACUCCAUGAUCGGUUGAUCGGAAGAAUGAUUAUGAUCUCUACGUGUUUCUUUCAUCAUUGGCAGUAUACGAAAGUGUUGGGAUGAGGCCUUGUUUGAUAAGAGGUUUAUUACCGGUAUUGCGUUGUUUGAGCAACUACUGCUAUUAGAAGUUAUCACUAUGAGUGUUUGAGUUAUGUGGUAUAUCAUGUGAUUUCAUCUGGAAUUGUGGUUAUGGCAUGUUUAGACUUAUUCAGUGUGUAGAUGUGAGAUUCUGAUCUUAUAGAUAAUUUCGGAAGUGGAAAUUUGUUUCUAAGGUUAUGGGCUAGGGUGAAUUGUGAAAUUUCAGUUAUGUUGUGAUAUCAGACCUAUAUGGGAUAGGGUGACAUGGGAUCACCCCCAGGUAUGUGUAUGGUAAGGUUAUACAACGAUUUGAUGGUUUUUGGAACAACUCUGGGCAUGUUCGAGGACAAAAGUAUGUUUAAGUGGGGGAGGAUGUAACUACUCGACCAGUCGUUUUGAGCGUUUGCACUUCCCUCGCCAGUUCUCAGGCAUAAGUAGUCUCGUAUAAUGUAUUAUGACAUAUGUAAAUCGUCGGUUUUGGUUUUCAGGUUAAUCGGAACUGAUAUGGAAGAAUGAUUCUCAGCUUGAAGCUUUAAAUUUGAAAGGUUUGACUAAGUUUUGACUUGUUAGUAUUUGAUCUCGGAUUUGGAUUUUUUAUGAUUUGGUUAGCUCUGUUAGGUUAUUUUGGACUUGGGAGAGCGUCCGGAAUGUGAUUUGGAGAUCCUUGGUAGAAUUAGGCUUGAAUUGGCGAAAUUAAAAAUUUGGCGUUUCUUGAUCGGUAGUGAAAAUUUUGAUAUCGGGGUCGGAAUGUAAUUUCGGAAAUUGGAAUAGGUCCAUGGUGUCAAUUGCAAUGUGUGUGCAAAAUUUUGUAUCAUUUGGAUGAGGUUUGGUAGGUUUCGUCAUCGUUUGCAGAAUUCGGAAGUUUAGGAGUUCUUAGGGUUGAAUCCGAGGGUGAUUCGGUGGUUUGAUAUUGUUUUGUGUAUUCCGAAAGUCCGACUAAGUUUGAGUGGUGAUAUGUGACUUGUUGGUAUUAUUGGUUGAGGUCCCGAGGGCCUCACGUAUGUUUCAGAAGGUCGGUGGAUGGGUUUUUGGUGUUGAGGGCUGCUGGUGUGAUUUCUGCUGGUGUUUCCGCACCUGCGGAAGGGGAGCCGCAGGUGCGAGGCCGCACGUGCGAGUUGGGAGCCACAGAUUCAGACGCUGUGGAGUUUGGUCCGUUCCGCAGAAGCGGAAGAUGACUCAUAGGUGCGUACCGUAGGUGCGAUGGGUUGACUGCAGAUGCAGAAAGUGGUUCAUUAAGUGGGUUCUGCACCUGCGAUGGAAAUUCCGCAGGUGCGGUGCCGCAGAAGCGGGAAUUUGACCGCAGGUGCGGUUUUACUGGUCAGAAAAACCCCAGCUCGAGAUUUGUUCUUCAUUUUUCGAUUUUGGGGUCGAGGAACUCGGGAGAUAGGCGAUCUUUCGAGGGAUUUGAAGGAGCAACACUGGGUUAAGUGAUUCUAACCUAUAAUGGUUUAAAUUUCAUGAAUCUAUGGUUUUAUUCAUAAUUUAAUUGAGAAGUUGAGCUAGAAGUUAGGGAUUUAGGGCUUGAAAAUUUGGAGAGAGGAUUUUGAGGAUUUGAGUGACCAAAUGAGGUUGGAUUUCAAUAAAUUUUAUAUAUAUGGAUUCGUGAGUGAAUGGGCUUUCUAGUUUUAUGAUUUUUGUUGGAUUCCGAGAUGUGGGCCCGGGGACCGAAUUUGAAAGGAUUUCAGGAUUUGUGCCUAAUUUAAUAUUUUUCUUGUGGAAUUCAUUCUAUUAGCAUAUAUUUAUGGUAUUGUUAUGAUUGUGGAUAGAUUCGGAGCUAUUGGAGGCCGAUUCGAGGGGCAAGAGCAUCGCGGAGUAGGGAUUUGACCGGUUUGAGGUAAGUAAUGAUUGUAAAUCUUGUCCUGAGGGUAUAAAGCCCCGGAUUUCACAUCAUUUCACUAUUUUGAGGUGACGCACAUGCUAGAUGACGAGCAUGUGGGCGCACACCGUUGGGAUUGUGACUUGGUCCAUCCAGUAGCAAUUAUUAAGUUGCGUAUUUGACUAGAAACUAUAUGAUACUUAUGUGUUUUAGAAAGAAUUUCUAUAAUUUGGGUUGAAUGCCAUAUUUGGGCCUUCUACCAAGCUGUUCGGACCCUUAGGGUCCUUUUCUUAUUAUUUCCUCACUGUUUUGACUUAAGAUACUCAAUCAUGCUAUAUUUUACUGAUUUCAUAAGUCAGUCUUUAUUACUCUGUUUUGAUGCAUAAAAUGAUAUUUUGGGUUGAGCACCCAGUUUUACUAAUAGCCCGAGUGGCUAGAAAGUUUUCUGACUGAGUGAGACAGAGAGUCUGUGUUGUCAAGAUAUUAUGGGAUCGGGUUGUGCGCCGUAGCAUGAUGGUAUUGAUUUAUGAUUAUGAGAGGUCGAGGGCCUGAUUUAUGCCACGAGGUGGCUUGUUAUAGCGCUUGGGUUGUAGGAGCCCCUCUGGAGUCUGCACACCCUCAAUGAGCACAGGUACCUUGAGUGAGUGAUAUGAUGUUUUGCCCGAGGGGCUGUUCUUGAUUUAUGUUGCGCUCGAGGGGCUAUUCUUAAUUUAUAUUGUGCCCGAGGGGCUGUUCUUGAUUCAUGUUGUGACCGAGGGGUUGUUUACGAGUGACGGUGAGGUUUGCCCAAGGGACUGAUUCUUAGUGAUGUUAUGCCCGAGGCUUAGGGGCGGUUUAUGAUUCAUGUUGCCUAAGGGGCUGUGUACGAACUAUGUUUUUCCGAGGGGCUGUUUAUGAUUUUCAUCACUUUUACUCUAAAUUGCUUUAAGCCUCUAUUGAAACUGUUGAAAAGCAUCUUUCAAAUAUUUUUUACCGAAAACUGGAUUUUAAACGAGGUGAUUUGACUCAUACACUGAUGUGAAAGCAAGUUGUACUUACUGAGAUUUCAUGAUGUGGAUUUUGAUGUGUUUCCUACUGCUGAGUCUUUAUUUACCUUUAUUACUUACUGAGUUCGCGCAGAUCCAGGGGUUGCUGGACAUGCAAGCGAGCGUUGAUUUUUCAUCCGUCGCGGAUAUUUUGGAGUUGGCAAGGUAGCUGCAUGGCGAUCGCAGCCUUGCUCUUCUCCCUCCUAUCUUCCUAUAGAUAUUAUUAGAUGAUUUCUAGACUGUAUUAGUCUUAGCAUUUGGGAAAAUUUUUAGUAGAUGCUCAUGACUUGUGACACCCCGAUGCCGGACUUUUCUCUCCGCACUUUGCUAUUCAGACUUAUAUUACGAAGUUUUAUUAAUUAC